ensembl:lincRNA
AAAGUGCUGGGAUUACAGGCUUGAGCCACCGCGCCCGGCCAAGUUGAUAUAUUAAACGUGUGGAAAAGACUUCAAUUCUGUUUUAACAUAUGAGAAGGAGGGGUGACUGACUUCAUGACUAGCAUUAAGAAAAUAUCACAUGUUGGGAAACUUUCUGCCUUGAUGAUUUUAUAAACACAAGAGAUGAGAAAUGAGGAACAUGCUUAGAUAUACUGGGACUGAGAUGGGACUGUGGCAUUGUCACAAGGGUACACAAAUACUGAGUGACUGAUAGAGGAACGGUCCCCAUCAGUUGUGACCUCAGGUGAGACCAGGAGGUCUGUGUUUUAGCAAACCCUGGGCAAUUGGAAUGAAGUGCUCUCAAGAUUCCAUGACACGCCCAGCUUCUAAUUCUGUUAUUGCAACAGCAGGCCGUUACCUGGGACUCUGGCCAGUAUCUCCCACACUCCCGUCAGAGCCUGAGCUACAGGCAGCACCUUCGGCUCUCAGCUCAAGCAUUUCCAGCCUUGUUUUUGUGGUUAAGGACCCUAAAGUGCUGUGAGGAGGGAUCAAGUUUUUCUGAACAGUAAGUUAGGAAUUUGAGUUAUUGACAUCCCCCAGUCCUGAUUAAACCUAUUUGAUUUCCAGUUUUUAACCGACCAUGUGUUUCGGUUUCUUCUCCCCAGUCUCUGGCUGUACCUGUGGUGACCCCAACGUCAGCAUGGUGGCAUCCGGCAGGACGUGUUCCAGGAAAACCACAGCGGUGAACUUUCCUGAUAUCAUCGAGAAUUCCUACUCCCAGCAGGAAGAGACCAAACCCAAUUUCAGAGACAGCAAAUAUAGACUUCUUAUGAGCCAGGUGGCCUACUUGCGGAACUACCAGCUGAAGACAUACGAAGAUCGAAAAGAUCACGAUGAAGAACAGAUAUACAGAGACAGCAGAAAUAAACUUCUUAUGAGUCAAGUGGCCUACUACCUGGGCUGCCGGCUGAAGACGGAAGUCCCUGGCUUUCUGUGUCGUGCCCAAAAUGCCAACAUGGUGGCAUCUGGCAGGCCUCCUUCCAGAAAAAACACAGAGGUGAACAUUCCAGAAGGCAUUGAGAAAUCCUGCUCCCAACAGGAAGAAAACAAACCGAAUGUCGGAGCCAACAAAAAUAGACUUCUUAUGAG